rnacentral:rRNA from 1 species
UGAGGAAUAUUGGUCAAUGGGCGAGAGCCUGAACCAGCCAAGUAGCGUGCAGGAAGACGGCCCUAUGGGUUGUAAACUGCUUUUAUGCGGGGAUAAAGUGAGGGACGUGUCCUUCAUUGCAGGUACCGCAUGAAUAAGGACCGGCUAAUUCCGUGCCAGCAGCCGCGGUAAUACGGAAGAUCCAGGCGUUAUCCGGAUUUAUUGGGUUUAAAGGGAGCGUAGGCCGUGGAUUAAGCGUGUUGUGAAAUGCAGGUGCUCAACGUCUGCACUGCAGCGCGAACUGGUCCACUUGAGUGUGCGCAACGCAGGCGGAAUUCGUCGUGUAGCGGUGAAAUGCUUAGAUAUGACGAAGAACUCCGAUUGCGAAGGCAGCUUGCGGGAGCACAACUGACGCUGAAGCUCGAAAGUGCGGGUAUCGAACAGGAUUAGAUACCCUGGUAGUCCGCACGGUAAACGAUGGAUGCCCGUUGUCAGGCUGUUUCAGCCUGGUGACCAAGCGAAAGCAUUAAGCAUCCCACCUGGGGAGUACGCCGGCAACGGUG